rnacentral:rRNA from 1 species
UUUAUGGAGAGUUUGAUCCUGGCUCAGGAUGAACGCUGGCGGCGUGCCUAAUACAUGCAAGUCGAGCGAACGGACGAGAAGCUUGCUUCUCUGAUGUUAGCGGCGGACGGGUGAGUAACACGUGGAUAACUACCUAUAAGACUGGGAUAACUUCGGGAAACCGGAGCUAAUACCGGAUAAUAUUUUGAACCGCAUGGUUCAAAGUGAAAGACGGUCUUGCUGUCACUUAUAGAUGGAUCCGCGCUGCAUUAGCUAGUUGGUAAGGUAACGGCUUACCAAGGCAACGAUGCAUAGCGACCUGAGAGGGUGAUCGGCCACACUGGAACUGAGACACGGUCCAGACUCCUACGGGAGCAGCAGUAGGGAAUCUUCCGCAAUGGGCGAAAGCCUGACGGAGCAACGCCGCGUGAGUGAUGAAGGUCUUCGGAUCGUAAAACUCUGUUAUUAGGGAAAGAACAUAUGUGUAAGUAACUGUGCACAUCUUGACGGUACCUAAUCAGAAAGCCACGGCUAACUACGUGCCAGCAGCCGCGGUAAUACGUAGGUGGCAAGCGUUAUCCGGAAUUAUUGGGCGUAAAGCGCGCGUAGGCGGUUUUUUAAGUCUGAUGUGAAAGCCCACGGCUCAACCGUGGAGGGUCAUUGGAAACUGGAAAACUUGAGUGCAGAAGAGGAAAGUGGAAUUCCAUGUGUAGCGGUGAAAUGCGCAGAGAUAUGGAGGAACACCAGUGGCGAAGGCGACUUUCUGGUCUGUAACUGACGCUGAUGUGCGAAAGCGUGGGGAUCAAACAGGAUUAGAUACCCUGGUAGUCCACGCCGUAAACGAUGAGUGCUAAGUGUUAGGGGGUUUCCGCCCCUUAGUGCUGCAGCUAACGCAUUAAGCACUCCGCUGGGGAGUACGACCGCAAGGUUGAAACUCAAAGGAAUUGACGGGGACCCGCACAAGCGGUGGAGCAUGUGUUUAAUUCGAAGCAACGCGAAGAACCUUACCAAAUCUUGACAUCCUUUGACAACUCUAGAGAUAGAGCUUUCCCCUUCGGGGACAAAGUGACAGGUGGUGCAUGGUUGUCGUCAGCUCGUGUCGUGAGAUGUUGGGUUAAGUCCGCAACGAGCGCAACCUUAAGCUUAGUGCAUCAUUAAGUUGGGCACUCUAAGUUGACUGCCGGUGACAAACCGGAGGAAGGUGGGGAUGACGUCAAAUCAUAUGCCCCUUAUGAUUUGGCUACACACGUGCUACAAUGGACAAUACAAAGGGCAGCGAAACCGCGAGGUCAAGCAAAUCCCAUAAAGUUGUUCUCAGUUCGGAUUGUAGUCUGCAACUCGACUACAUGAAGCUGGAAUCGCUAGUAAUCGUAGAUCAGCAUGCUACGGUGAAUACGUUCCCGGGUCUUGUACACACCGCCCGUCACACCACGAGAGUUUGUAACACCCGAAGCCGGUGGAGUAACCUUUUAGGAGCUAGCCGUCGAAGGUGGGACAAAUGAUUGGGGUGAAGUCGUAACAAGGUAGCCGUAUCGGAAGGUGCGCUGGAUACAUCUCUAAGG